rnacentral:sRNA from 1 species
UUUCCGUAGGUGAACCUGCGGAAGGAUCAUUACAGUUAGUUUUAGUUUACUCGCCUGCGCUUAAUUGCGCGGCGGUAGGCAAACAUCUUACACACUGUGUUUUUGUUUUUUUGAAAACUUGCUUUGGUUUGGCGCAAGCCGGGCCAGAGACUAGCACUUAAACUUCAAUUUUACGAUUGAAUUGUUUUUAAAUUUAUUGUCAAUUUUGUUUGAUUAAAUUCAAAAUAAUCUUCAAAACUUUCAACAACGGAUCUCUUGGUUCUCGCAUCGAUGAAGAACGCAGCGAAAUGCGAUAAGUAAUAUGAAUUGCAGAUUUUCGUGAAUCAUCGAAUCUUUGAACGCACAUUGCGCUCUUUGGUAUUCCAAAGAGCAUGCCUGUUUGAGCGUCAUUUCUCUCUCAAACCUUUGGGUUUGGUAUUGAGUGAUACUCUUAGUUAAACUGGGCGUUUGCUUGAAAUAUAAUGGCAGGAGUGUACUGGAUAGUACUGACUGGUUUUUCAAUGUAUUAGGUUUAUCCAACUCGUUGAAGCGACUAUGGAAGUAAAUUUCUAGUAAUUUGGCUCGGCCUUAUAACAACAAACAUAAGUUUGACCUCAAAUCAGGUAAGAUUACCCGCUGAACUUAA